AACCUCUAUCUUGAGAGAACAGAGGCAAUUUGGGUUUGGAGUUAAAAGUCCUGGUUUCAUUUCCCAGCUUAUCCCCCUUAGCCUUGAGACCUUGGGCAAGUCCUUGAACUUUUCUGAGUCUCAGUUACAUUCCACCAUCAAGAAAUAAUAAUGGGCCUCCCAUCUACUCCUUCAGAUUGCUUUGAGUUAAAAUGAGAUAAUGUCCCCUGAAUGCUAAAGUGUGAAAAAUCUGAAGAAAAAAAUAUAAAGCCAUGAAUUAGCAGCCUGCUCUUAAAAUGAUUACUAAUGUUGGUCAUUAUUACUAGCUUCAGCAUCAUCAUAUAUGAUUGUUUGAUUUUUAAAAAACCUGAUGAGAUUAAAACUUAUUUUGAAAGGAUGUUAAGUCCACAGAUAAAAAUGCACUGGGCUAUCAAAAUUUUAGACCCACCGACAUUUAUCGGUGAGAUCUUACCUGCCCCUUUUAUCUACCUCUUCCUCCUAUUUAUCCUUCUCAAUUCACUAUGAACAGAAAGAUCUGCCCUCAACAAAUAAAUACAGAUUCCCAUGAAAACCUGCCAAAAGGAAAACCAAAAGAGGAAGAGGAUAUAAGAUUUCUCAAGGUUCACUG
rnacentral:lncRNA from 1 species